CCCGGAGAACGCAAGCAUGUAAAAUGAUUUAGACAAGUGUUUGGGAGGGAGUGUACUUACACUCGAACCCGGAAAAUGCGGAUGUCUCUAAACGAGUCGUUUUUGUAAAACGCCAAACUUGAGAACAAAGUAGGAAUAUAAAAGCGAAACGAAGUCAUAAUGCGUACCGUAAGGGUUGCAAUAAUAAUGACUUCGGUAAAACACCCGGUUGGUGGGUAAGGAUUUAAACACAUGCGUAGACCGAGAAACGGGAACUCGGAUGGAAAGUUAAAAGACUUGGAUUUUGAGUCAUUACUAAAAGAUGACAAGAUAAAGUAAAUAGAAGUUUUGAUAAAUCAUGUUCAACUAUUUUAAAGUUGAACGGGUCGAACAAAUAUUGAAGUUUGACAUUCAUAAGUGACGAAUUUUCACACGAACAAGUUAAACGGGUUAGAUAAAACGAAACAUUGGAAAAGAUAAAGAACCCGGUAAUGGGACGAGAUUGAAUGCAAAUAUGAGCGCAAACCGAAGAAAGGAAAGCGUGAGACAUUAAUGAACCCAUGUAAUGGGUCGGAAUUAAAUAUGAGAUGAUUGUGGACACGAAUCACAGUCGGCAUGAGCAAAAUUUUGAUGCAAAAAAAAAAAAAAAAAAAAACAAAUAAUUUUCAAAUAUAAAAAGGAGAAUCUACGGGAUCAUUAUAACCUUCGGGUUAGAAACAAUGUAAUGGUCUACGGGACUAAACUGACCCAUGGGUCACGAAUAGAAAGGGAAGGAAUCAUAAAGGCAACGCCUUAAAGAGGUGAAAGCCUAAAUAAAUAGCCUACGAGGCCAAGUAAAAGAAUCUACGGGUUACGUAGACGAGCGGGGGAACCAGUAGAGAAUUCCCACAUAAAACUAGACUGUAAAAGAAUAAAUUACAGAUUGUCAAUGUCCUGGUAUGGAUAAUUGACAAAAGAUAAAGAAAAGAUCCUAAACUAAAACUUUGGUUUUAGUAAGAAAUAACGUUUUUACAAAUAUGUAUGCUGAUAGGAAAUUGAAUAUUAAGCAUGAAAGGUUCAAGUUUUGACACUGAUAGGCGCAAGACGUUAUGUUUGAAAAGUGAUAUUUUCGAAAAUGAAAUUUUGAUAUAAAUUAAAUAUGAUAUGACGCGAUCACGGUCAAGAACUGCAAUGUGAAGUAGAAUCACAUUAUAACCAAGCAAGCUGUAAAAAGUAACUGGACUAAUAAGUCUAGUUAGCGAGACCGGUUAAGGUCAGCAAUUAAAAUCAAGAAAUUUGGUUUGCUUGUAAGCGGUGGAUUCGGUAUAACUAAAUCGAAUGAAUAAAUUUGAAAACAAAAGAAAUUGUUGCUAAAAGUGAAAAUUCUCACUAAAGACCUUUAAACGGGUCAAAGUAAUGGAUUCAUAAAGAAUUCCAUAGUAUAUGAAAGCGAUGGAUAUCGCUAAGUUAACUAAGCUAGUGGAAAUAACAAAAUUACGUUAUUUCAAGUUGCAUUAUGUCGUAUGAGAUGUGUAGACAAUUAGUAACCAAAAAGAUGUUACCAUACUUUUCUGGUACUAAUAACGAUUGGUUAAAAAUAUAAGUAAUGUUUAAAAGAAUUCUAGGAUCGAAUACAUUGAGUUUAAACUCGAUGAAUUAUGUAAGAAAAGGUUUCGAGGACGAAACCUCUUUAAGGGGGGUAGACUUGUAACACCCCAAAAUAUAAAAUUUACAUAUACAUAUGUAAAUUAUAAAUUGAUUAUAACCAAAUGUAACAUAACUAGGAAUAAUUAACCUAGUUAGUAAAUUGAAUUGGAAAAAAAAAACAAUAAGGAAAAACAUGAAAUAGAUAACCAUUUUACAAAAUAUGGAACUAUAGGGACUAAAAGAGGCAAAAGGGAAAAAUGUUUUUAAUUAAAACAAAUAAACACCAAAACACACACACAUGUGUGUGUUUGGUCGACGUUUAUACAGAGCCAGGAGAAGGGUUCUUUUCAAAACCCUAAACUCACUAAAAUCCAUCAAAAUCUAAGGGAAAUCGAGUUGGAAAUUAGGGCUUUAACUAAAUUCAUGAUCAACCAUGCUAGGAGAUCACAAGUUGACUCUAAACAAGCUAGGUGGGAGCUUGGAAAGGAACGGGUCAAACGAAUCAUGGAUGCGAAGAAUGUUUGCGCGAACGCGAGGUGAAUGCCAAGAGUGCCCGGAUGAAGAUCAAGCUCGAUGAGGAACCGAACACAAUAAAAUCUAACACUCGGGAUUAAAGCUUCCGCACGGCGUUACGCCAUAUCUUUUAAACGACGAACUUAUUUAUAUUACGUUAAAAAAACUUUUAAGUUGUAAAAGUUUUUUUUAGAUUACUUGUAUUUUCUAAGAAUACUUAAUCGCAAUUUCAUGUUUAUUUUCGAUAUUUAUACGAAAACCUUAAAAAUUAUAACA